GGAUAACUACUGGAAACGGUAGCUAAUACCGCAUAAUCUCUCAGGAGCAAAGCAGGGGAACUUCGGUCCUUGCGCUAUCGGAUGAACCCAUAUGGGAUUAGCUAGUAGGUGGGGUAAUGGCUCACCUAGGCGACGAUCCCUAGCUGGUCUGAGAGGAUGAUCAGCCACACUGGGACUGAGACACGGCCCAGACUCCUACGGGAGGCAGCAGUGGGGAAUAUUG
rnacentral:rRNA from 1 species